UACGUUGGUGGCAAGCGUUGUCCGGAUUUAUUGGGCGUAAAGCGAGCGCAGGCGGUUCCUUAAGUCUGAUGUGAAGGCCCACGGCUCAACCGUGGAAGGUCAUUGGAAACUGGGGAACUUGAGUGCAGAAGAGGAGAGUGGAAUUCCAUGUGUAGCGGUGAAAUGCGUAGAGAUUAGGAAGAACACCAGUGGCGAAGGCGAUUCUCUGGACUGUAACUGACGCUGAGGCUCGAAAGCGUGGGGAGCAAACAGGAUUAGAUA
rnacentral:rRNA from 1 species